AGCAAGUUUGCUCCCAAGAAACUAAAUGUACAGUGCCAUUGAAGACAUGGUAUCUGCCUGUCAUGCUCUUGAAUAAGAAAACAGUCUUCAGCAGUCAGGCACGCUUCACAUAUGAAAUCAUAAGAGCCAUGCUAUGGUAAACAUGAGAUUCUUUCCCGUUCUGUGAUUUCCCUUCUUGGGAGACUGCAGCAUGAAUGCAGCUUUUUUCAGAGAAACAUAGCUUCAGAAACUUAUGAGGAGAACAGCGCCAACCAUCUGUCUGAGAAUGGUUUGGUGCAAGGCCGAGUUCUUAUGAAGACCAAAGAAAACUUUGGGGAGUCCUACUUUCCUGGAAGAGAGCUGUGCACUAUUUUUCACAGUCUGCUGAAGCUGGUCACAGCCUCCGGAAGGCCUAAUCUACGCCCUUUACCGGAAAACCUCUAGUAUCCUGGGCACCUGCUGCUCUCCAGCAAGGACGCAUAAGAGCUUCAAAUCUGCUUGUCUCUCCUGCAGUUUUAUAAACCAGAUUUUACACCAAAACAAGACAAAAGAGUUUGAGGUAAAUCGUACAACGGGAUUCAAACUUCUGGAUGUGAAGCUGAGCCUAUGAACGUUUCAAGAGCCAGCGAAUAUGACGUCCACGAUGACUGACAACCUCCCGUUGCGCAUCGGUGACGCGACCUACGUGUCAUUCAGUACCCGGCGUGGGCUUAACUUGACAACAGAGAAGGUGAUUUAUUUUGCAUGGUUGCUUUGUGCAUUUUUUGUUUGUCGGAAUAUGUGUAUAGUCCUACCAGUUGUGGCGCUGUACUUCUGGCCGAGUUUGCGGUCUGUUUUUUAUUACUUGUUUGUUAGAACGUCAGUUAGAAAAAGUGUAUAACUCGGACAUGAAUGCAGCGAUGCGAUGACUGACUAACUCGAACACUUGGCUUUGCUGGGGACUUGAAAAUUGCCAGACGUACGGACACAUUGCUGGUACAAUGAAUAUUUUUCCAAAGCUGGAAAAAAUUAUCAAAAGCAAACCCAAUCAAAAACCACAUCACCUGCUCCACUCAGGUGCCUUGAACAUCUCUGGAGACAGAGCCGUCAUCCCGUGCGCGUGCCACACCGUGCCGAGUAAAAAGUUCCUGCCUCCCGAUGCCUAACCUAAAUCUCCCCUCCCGUAGUUUAAAGCUAUUCCGUUUUCACCUGUCUCUAUCAGACUGUAGCAGAAAUGCUAAGUCAGGGCUAACCAGUGAUUGAGCACCUGGUGGGAAGGCGGGGCCAACCCAGGUGCACGCAAUGCCGCCAAGUGACUGGAAGGGGUGGAGCCAGGAUCCACCCCUUCCCAGACCUCAUUUAAGGGUUGGCAGUGGAAGUAAGGGCACUUCUCUGGAGAUCCUGGUGUACCAGUGACUUUCUGAAGGUAAGCAGCUUUGUUUGGUUUUUUGUUUGUUUGUAUUUGUGGCUGUGGCAGCUCCUGUUUUUGGUUUGUCCUCCUUUGCUGCAGCCUAGGACUCUGCCACCCUGCUAUUAUUGCUGUUCUUUCAAUUGUGUUCCAGCAUUACACAGACAGCCCUGAAAGCUGGCAUUCGUCCUGAUUAUAGUUUCCCUUCAAGCGCUAGAAGCCCACGGUGAGGGGUGGGCUUUUCUUCACUGUGAAAAACAAACCCAAUUUCCUCAUCUUUUUUGUAUAGGAAACGUGCUGCAGCCCUUUGCUCAUGUUUGUGGCCUUGCUCUGAACCUGCUCCAGCAGGUCUGCUUUUUUUUUUUUUUUCCUCUAUUUAUUGUGUUUCCCCUGCCCUCCUUUCUCCUCCUUUUCUCUCUUUUUUUUCCCCUGGCAGGCCGUUGCUCUGUCUCGUGCUGGUUUCCUGCCUUCUGAGCUCGGUUUCCACUGAUGGGGGCUGGAGAACUCUUGUGCUAUCAGAAAGGCAUCUUUAAGGAGUUCCUUUGAUGCUCCUUCAUAAUUCAUCAUUUCCGGGAAAGAAAACCACAGAUACACGUGGAAUUCUUCUGAAAAUCUAGCCUGUUUCUGCAGGUGGGCCUUAUUAACGGUGUUAAUCUGGUGUGCGGUGAAUUAACAUAAAAUAAGACUUCUCCCAGAACAGGAUGCACUGCGGCAUUAACAUCUAGUCCCACCUUGAAGGGUGUUUUCCUAGAUAUUUUUCUUCUUAGGAAAAUUAGUGAAAUACUCUGAGUUGAAGUAUAGCCAUUGCAGGUCUACGUCUGGAGAUCGGAUUGGUUGGAAGCUAGUUAGUUCCUGAGGUUAAGGCAAUUCCAUUUUUUUCCCCAGAGGUAGGUGUUUGCCUCGUCUGGGAACCCAGCAAAUUCUUCCCGCAGCUUUUUUAAGCGGGACCUCAGAUUAUGCCUUUUCUCUUAGCGGAACUAAUUGAAAAGAGGGUUCGGCAAGCUAGACAGCGAGUUCAGGCCUGUGCUCUUACGGUUGACGGUCUUACUCGAUCAGACUACAGUUAAAAGCAGAACAGUCAAGAAGCUUGUCAGCCCGUCCGUCCCCACAGCCAUCUUCCCCGGCGGUACCACCCGGCGAGCUCAGUUUUCUUCCCCGGAUUUCGUUUGUCUCGUUCCCUUGCGCUUUGCUAGGCUAGCGAUGUUUGCGGGAUCUCCGCUCUGGGGGGGCGUACUGAGAAAGACAAGCAAUUCCGCUUUUCUCCGGGAAGCAGCUCCGUCUGACCUCUUAAGGCCGGUGCGUCUCUGUGCUCUGCAUGGCUCGUGUUGUAAGCACUAACAUUUGCCUGACUGCAAGGGAUCUGCCAAGUCAGGGCCAGAACCGCUGAUUGGGCACCUGGAAGAAGAGGCCAGGUCAGGCUGGGGAGCACAGGUGAGGGCGAUUCACCUGAGGGAAGGGAAGGCAUGGAGCCGGGCUCCACCCCUCUUAAACCUCAUUUAAGGGCUGACUGCCACCGAGGAAGGAUCUCUUCCAGGCGAUCCCUCCUCUGUGGAGUUCUUCCGCGAGCCUAGCUCUUCAGAGACGGGUGAGCAUUACUGUGUUUGUGACAUCUUCUCAUUGCUCUGGUCCCGGUGCAGUUACCUAGAUGAAAUCUGAAGCCUCGCUCUUUCCUUUCUCUUCCUCCUCCUACUGCCGUUUCCGGUUGUGUCGAGUACUUACGAACCCACGAACCGCCGAGAAAGGCUAGAUAGGGUAAGGAAGCGUACAGGAGCUCCUGUUGCCCUUGUAUGGUUUAGUAUUAUUUUCAUUUCUUGAAAAACAUAGCAAAACAUACCCCUUAGUUGGAGGUCCACUGAAUAGGUCUGGGGGGAGGAAUUUGCCUCCUCCGCUCGGUAAGCUGCGUAGAUGUGGAAGAGAGAGGACUACGGCUAUUAGGACCGCACGCGAGCGUAGAAACUGGAGCUUAGAGCUUCCUCGAGUGACAAGGGGAAGGUGUGCUCUACUAAAACCGCGACGGAACAAAGGUCCGAUUAUUCAAUUUGCUCACAGUUAAAUGCUGUUCAUUGUUGACAAGCUUACGUGAAUUAAGGAUUAGGGAUUUUGUUUCUGAUUUGUUGCGAAAACAAGCAAAAAAAGACAUCCUUUUUUCUCUUCACUGAUGGAGGGGAGGAAUACGCUCAUAGCGCCUGGGACUCUGGCUAAAGUGAGGGUAAGGAGAGCUCACGCUCGCCUUUAUAAUAAGGAAAGGCAUUUCAAAGACUGGUACGUACAUUGGAAGCCCUCUUCUGAGCAUAGUUACCCAGGAAAUAGAUUCCGGACCGUGAGAGGGGGUUUUGGGGUAGCUUCAGGCUUUAUAGCCGCGCACUGCACUUCUUGCUCAGCCAAUCUGGAUAUUAACGCUAGGAUACAUAGUACUAAUGUUACUGAGCCAAGAAUGUGAGCUCCAGAAUGACUGGGAGUGUAACAGUUAAAAAUAUCCCCCUCUGGAUGGGACAAAGUCUGUACUCAUACCUAUGGCUUUUUGUCUGAUUUAGGACAGAUGUUAUUUCUUUCCUCAAUUAGAGGGAUGCAUCCAUUAACUUUAACUGUCUACUAUGCCCUGAUUCCCUCGUUGCUCUAUCUUUUAACUAUUCCUACGAGUUUAUUCCCACUCGGAGCCAUCCCACCCCUUGAGAGAUCGCCCGUGUUGCAAAAGGGAGAUGUACUCACUGGUGGUUUAGUUUUGAGCGUGUAUUAUCUCUUUGAGUAGGUGGGCAGAGCUAGAGACCGCCUCCAGUGUCAGAAAACAGCCCCUCCUGUUUGUACAAGUUGUAAAACUACCAAACAGCUAAGUACUGACUGCCCCAUGCAAAAGAGGCUCUAAGCCUGUGUUAGUAUAGCCAGGCUCACAGGACUCGAGGAGACAGGCGCCUAUCAGAGUCCAGGGGCUUGUUGUCAGGGGAAGCUCCCUCUGCUAUUUCUUUAAAUGGUCAGGACACAGGAGUCCCAAGUGUACUUAGUAUGCUUGCUGAUUUCUCUAAAUUAGGAGGAGCUGCAGUCUGCUCCAGGGUAGAAAGGCUCUGCAGAGACAGCUGCUAUGAUUGCCAAGACCGUGAAGCACCUGGGGCUGGCCCACCCAGCUACAUAUACAGAAGGAGACAAGGCCAGAGAGCUGUCCCGGAGAAAGGAAUCCAGGGGCCACAGCAGUUGACAGCAAGUUAAGCUGGAAUGUGUGGCACGCACCAGCAGUCAAGGGGGGCCAACCACACCCCAGCACACCUCAGGAUCCCCCCUCCCCGUGGAGCAAAGGAAGGGACCAUCCUGCUCCAGUGUCACAUCCUCACUGUGCACAUUGUGUGUGGUUCUGGGUAACAUGGUAUGAAAGAAAAGAAUGACGUCAAAGUAUGCAAGGAAGGGCUCAAACACUCUCUCUCUCUCGCUAGCUGAACAGAGACUGUAGUGAGGUGGGGGUCACCUUCUUUUACCCCAUCGCUAUCUACAGGAUGGGAGGGAGCAGAGGCUCAGUGCCUUCCAGUCUUCUCUCCCAAAGACCAACCCCACCUCCUCACCUGUGUGCUUCUCCUGUAAGGAACGCAGCCAUCCACAACACCGUUCCAGUCAUGCAAGCUGUCCCGCCGCGUCUCCGUGAUGAGAACAAGAUCGCACUCCUGAAGUUUUAAGUAACAGGCACUAUGGGAGGAGAAAAAUACACGGUCCCGUCCCGCUCACUUCUACCACUGGAAGCACCCGCAAAACCCUCUCCUCGGGCUGCUCGGCAGCGGCUCCGCACCGAGCCUUCUUAAAAGGCCACCUGGUAGCCCGGCGGCGGCGCCGUGCUCGCCCCAAACAAACCGAAGCAGCCCUACGCUAACAUCAAGAGAGAGUUUACCUAGUGACUCCAAAACACUCACCGCUUCCACCACCUCACCGGUUCGGGAUGAAGAGAGGCUCUGCUGCAGCCUUCACUGAGCCCGCAAUAGGAAAAAACUUGUUUCAGCAGCCCUUCGCGUUGCUUCUUACUCCCUGCGGCACCGAGGCUGCAGGAAUACGGCCCCGUCCCGCUUCCUCCUUCCUCUGAGACCAGGAGGAGCCGAAACCCCCGCUACGAAGCCGCGCAGGGGCUGAGAGCACCCCACGGCUGCGCUAGGACGCGGGGAACCGAGCGGCAGCCCCAUCCCGGCACGCGACGGCAGCCGGACGGCGAUGCUAUACCGGCUCCGAGAAGCCCGAACGGUGCGCGGCGAGAGCCCGGCGGUCUCCUGCCGCGGAGAGCGGACAGCCCCGAACGGCUCCCGAGCGCCGGCCGCCUCCACGGUCCCGUUGCUACCUGUAUGGCUCAUCGGUUCGGGCUGACCUUCACCGGGAGACCUCUCGCUGCCGCCUGAAACACAACGAACAGAGAACUCGACGUAGAAUCCCAAGGUCGCGUUUUGAAAGCAGCCGUUCGCGGCCCCGUCCAGUCUCAGGGGAAUAAUGACCUGAUAACAGAAUUAAGCCCGCCCCAGCUCCCACCAGCGAGGUAUCCCUGGUGGCUCCCGGCGUCCUCCGGCGGAGCUUAAGAGGCUUUUGGGGCGGACCCGCCCCGGGCUGCGGACGAGGCGCAGCUGUGCGCGGGCGGCCCCGCGGCACCUGAGAGUCGUUGCCUUGUUAGCGCCGGCGGGGCUCGUUAGGGCCGGCCGGCGACCCUGACAGCUAGCCACGUGGGCACUAGAUCUGAGUUAGGAACUUAAACUGCGCUUCCGAUUGAAGUUUGUUACGCGCUUCUCUUCACCUCACUGUGGGAUUCGCUAAUAAGGCAAAUAAUUGUGCCCAAUUCAAACGGAUCACUUUGCAUCUCACGCGACACCCUUCCGAAGAACGUCCCCAGCCUUAAAGGAUUCCAGCGUCCUCCGCUGCGGGCCGUCUCCCCUCGAACUAACUAAAUAAAUAAAUAACGUAAAUAAAUAAAGAGAAAAGUUUAGAAAGGGAAAGGGGAAGAAAAUUUUGUAAAACCUGUAAAACCUGUAAAACCUUUGUACCUGGCGAAGAAAACAUGACUGAAGGCGGAGGUACAAUUGCGGAGUAGCGAUGUAACAAAUGCCCUGAUGAAGCACGUGAGAAAAUUGCCUACCGGUGAACUUUGAAGCAGAGCUUUACGAAGGGUUCUGUACGGUGUUCACGCAUGGCAUAAAUGGCUAGGAAUGCUUUUGGUGACGUCUAAGCUGUCUCCGGUUAAGGACACGGGUACUCGGUAAAGGCUUCAGUGAUGAAAUUCACCCUACAUAGCAGUUUCUUUUUUGAUUUGUAAUCCUGAAAGUUGGUCUGCGUGCAUUUUCACUUCUUAUGAUGGUAGAACUGUGAAUGUUUUGGUUGCACGCUGUUACGGAUACAUUUUUCACAGCCAUCGGCGGCGUCGGACGGGAAAAGAAGGAAGAGCCGAACACGUGGAGCAAGGCGAGAGAUCCUGCCGAGGGUACGCGAUGCGUUGCAACAUUCUCCGGGGGAAGAAGCGGUUUGGUGACGGCUCAUCUCACGGCCCGGCAAAAUCCUUACGUUGUCUUGAACGUUGUCAGGGAAUUGUUCCGGGAAGCAAAGAGCGUCGCAGUGCGCGGCUUACAUGUGUUCGUGUGAGCUGCUGCUUUACGAAUAGCGGUGUUUUUUAAUCAAUGCUGUGGGGAACUUCAUUCCAGGUGUUGAAGUAACCGAAGGACGGCGUGAAAGGACUUUGUAUUUCUUUGAGAGCGCGCUUCGCCGGACUCUCGGAAAACGCCGCGUGUCACUUAUCUGAUCAUCCGACGGGAAGAAGAGAGGAGGAUCUGAACUUUGAUUUACAGUUAGCUGCAUGCAAAGGAUGAUGUGAAAAGAGUCCCUCCGAGUCCGCAGUCGGAACGAGAAGGUCUCGGAUGAAACGUGGGCGUGAAACGCUCGCCAGAGCUGUUGCCCAAAGCUUCUUUUAAACUACUUAUAGUCCAAGCUUUUUCAUGAAAAAAGUUUGUAAUUCCAUACAAUAAACAGGAGAUGGUUUUGCAGUGGAUUACCUGAGUUGCAAGUAGUAUGUUUUGUUGGCCAUUAUAGGCUGCCGUUCUAAACCAUUACAACAAGCGCUUUUUCACUUCCAGUUUGCGUAGUUGUAAACUACGCCGAUCGGUUACUAGCGCAUACGACUCCUUAGCUUAUAAAUGAAUUAUUUACACGGGUCCUUUGCUUUGAGAACCUACUGUCUGCGAAUGGGCACGUCUGCUCAAAGGAAAGAGGUCCCAGGCUAUAGAAUCUGACCGAGAGGCCCAGAGUAGUUGCCGGUGGGUUCCUCUCGAACCUCUUUUCGCCUGCAAAUCACCGGGCGAUGUAAAGCCCCCGAAAGCUGUGGUGAAUAAAAUGGAAUGGGCAAACUAUCAAGAAGGUACAGAAGGGGACCUGCGGGCCUUCGUGCGCUAAUGUGGGAUGAAAAAGGCCAGAGAUGCGAUCAUACGGCAUCCUCCUUCAGCUUGCGCAGAUAGUCCCAUUCCAAGGAGAGCUGUGGAGGUCUGGGAUUCCCGCCGGAUUACAAGCCAGCUGCUUCACCCUGAACCAGAGCUACAAACCGAUCCUCGCUUUUUGUCUUCAGCGGUCAGCGGUCCGCCCCGACAGCGCAACGACAACACGCCGAAGGGGUCCGGACUCGUCUCGCGCAUGCGCACCUCUGUCUACGUGCCGUGCUACAGCAUCAGAUCAUUGUUUUCCUUUCUAUACGCACGCUUUAAUUGUGUGAUAUUGGCAAAGGAGAGUCGCAACCCUGGAUAUAUUCACUCAUUGCUUAAUGAUGCUUGCGUAAUUGGUGACAUAUGGGAUAUUAAUGAGGACUACGUGCAGUAUGCCGUUUGUCUAAUGAGAAAUGUAAAGUGCAUCCUUUUGUGGUAUGUCACGUGACCACUGAGAAGGCUGGAAUUAGUGAAAUUCCCAUGCGAUUGAGAGAAAGGCUCUGUCAUUUUGUAUUCAUAAAGGAAAAAUUUGAUUUGAAAAGCUUACGUCUCUUUUUGUGGAGGUACAAGAGUUAAGGACUCUGACAUGUACAUAGCGUUAGUCUACACAAGAGUUACUAAAAGUUCAGGAAUCGUUGUCUCACAGAGAGUGAAACCUCUGUGUGCGACCCGGGGAAAGUAUUCUCACGCCUAGUGACCAUUUUUCAAGGAUUUGGGGAUCUAAACCUACGAUCUACCCUGUUAUCCAUUUCCUCAACUCAUAUCAAACUGCACUCUUUUUCGGAUCGCGUCGAAGUUGCACAUUUUUUUUUUUUUUUUUUAAAGGAAAUCUUGCUAAGAAUGCUUUUCCUUUUUUCACCCCUCCUAGUAAUAGAUAUUGUUCUCUGGAUUGGGUUACCGUGGUAAGAUUUUGGAAGGAAGCAGAGCAGCAGAAGCAAUCUCGGUGAAAUAUUAGGGAAUGCCUGUGAUGAUUACAAUUGCUUUCAGAUCGCUCUGCGCCGGACUUAUCCCAGGGCCUAGAUGAUUUUGUUAGCAGAGCCGCUGGUGAAAGGGAACGUAAGAAGGGACGGAAAGAACUCAACAGGGAUACAACAGGAGUGAAAAGGAGAAGGAGAAACGUGAAGGUCGGAGAAGGAGGCGUUCCGUGGCGAAGCAGGCAACCCACGCACGCAUAACUUACUCGAGACGAGUUACUUCACCAAUGGGACCACUGCCCGCGCGGAUGAACCCCCGCUGAAGUAGGUAGGCCCCAGAGGGACGGCAGGCGACGGGUGCCCACUUUGGAGCAUGGGAGAAGAGUGAGAUGGAAGGAACAGUCGAGAGAAAACACAAUGUAAUCCUUCACUGUCUACUCCAUCACAGUGAAGGAUCUGAGUAUGACCUGUGGCGACAAAGGCGAGGUCCUUAGCGAGAAGGGAAUCCAGGGGAAGGGGGAAAAGGAAAGUUCUUUCCCAAAGCACGCUUUAUUAUUAUUAUUAAUAUUAUUCCCUACUACUCAGAUCAGUAACUAUUUAUUGUACUUGACUGUCAAUUAACUUUCCCAAGCCAAGUCUGUUUUUCUCACGACAGAACUGGUAAGCGAUCUCCUUGUUCUUUCAUUGCCCGGAGAUUUCUAGCUUCGGUUUCCAGCUUUGAGCUUUGCUCUAGUCGUGAUUGAAGCCGGUUCACUUUUAGGUAUCGCCGGAGAAAACGGAACCGCCCUUCUCGUCGUCCGUCUGUUCUAGAGCAAGUAGUAGGUUGCAGCUAAAGAGAUAGCCUUCAGUUCUUCUAACAUAGUUUGGACUAAUAGUUUGAGUUUGACUGUAGUUGUACAAAGAUUACAGCCGAGAAAUGAGAAACUAUUAUUUCCCAUCGCCGAGAGAAUCAGACAGUAAGCAUUCAGUAGCUGCAAAUACUUAUGCGCUUGCAAUUGACCUAGAAAUAAUUUCAAAGCAGAGCCAGCAAAUAUGACGUCCACGAUGACUGACAACCUCCCGUUGCGCAUCGGUGACGCGACCUACGUGUCAUUCAGUACUCGGCGUGGGCUUAAGUUGACAACAGAGAAGGUAAUUUAUUUUGCAUGUUUGCUUUGUGCAUUUUUUGUUUGUCGGAAUAUGUGUAUAGUCCUACCAGUUGUGGCGCUGUACUUCUGGCCGAGUUUGCGGUCUGUUUUUUAUUACUUGUUUGUUAGAACAUCAGUUAGAAAAAGUGUAUAACUCGGACAUGAAUUCAGCGAUGCGAUGACUGACUAACUCGAACACUUGGCUUUGCUGGGGACUUGAAAAUUGCCAGACGUACGGACGCAUUGCUGGUACAAGGAAUACUUUUCCAAAGCUGGAAAAAAAUUUUCAAAAGCAAACCCGUUCGAAAACCACAUCACCUGCUCCACUCAGGUGCCUGGAACAUCUCUGGAGACAGGCUCCAGAACAGCCCCCCGAGUAAAAAGUUCCUGCCUCCCUAUGCCUAACCUAAAUCUCCCCUCCCGUAGUUUAAAGCUAUUCCGUUUUCACCUGUCUCUAUCAGACUGUAGCAGAAAUGCUAAGUCAGGGCUAACCAGUGAUUGAGCAUCUGGGGGAAGGCGGGGCCAACCCAGGGGAGCUCAGGU